UGGGGAAUAUUGGACAAUGGGCGAAAGCCUGAUCCAGCCAUGCCGCGUGUGUGAAGAAGGUCUUCGGAUUGUAAAGCACUUUAAGUUGGGAGGAAGGGCAUUAACCUAAUACGUUAGUGUUUUGACGUUACCGACAGAAUAAGCACCGGCUAACUCUGUGCCAGCAGCCGCGGUAAUACAGAGGGUGCACGCGUUAAUAGGAAUUACUGGGCGUAAAGCGCGCGUAGGUGGUUUGUUAAGUUGGAUGUGAAAUCCCCGGGCUCAACCUGGGAACUGCAUUCAAAACUGACUGACUAGAGUAUGGUAGAGGGUGGUGGAAUUUCCUGUGUAGCGGUGAAAUGCGUAGAUAUAGGAAGGAACACCAGUGGCGAAGGCGACCACCUGGACUAAUACUGACACUGAGGUGCGAAAGCGUGGGGAGCAAACA
rnacentral:rRNA from 1 species